CUACGGGGGGCUGCAGUGAGGAAUAUUGGUCAAUGGGCGCGAGCCUGAACCAGCCAUCCCGCGUGCAGGAUGACGGCCCUAUGGGUUGUAAACUGCUUUUCUAUGCCAUGAAACCUGAUUACGUGUAAUCAGUUGCCGGUAGCAUAGGAAUAAGCAUCGGCUAACUCCGUGCCAGCAGCCGCGGUAAUACGGAGGAUGCAAGCGUUAUCCGGAUUCAUUGGGUUUAAAGGGUGCGCAGGUGGGCUUGUAAGUCAGUGGUGAAAUGCUGCCGCUUAACGGUAGAACUGCCAUUGAUACUGCGAGUCUUGAGUAUGGUUGAGGUAGGCGGAAUGUGUUGUGUAGCGGUGAAAUGCAUAGAUAUGACACAGAACGCCAAUUGCGAAGGCAGCUUACUAAGCCAUUACUGACGCUGAGGCACGAAAGCGUGGGGAGCGAACAGGAUUAGAUACCCGAGUAGUC
rnacentral:rRNA from 1 species